rnacentral:rRNA from 1 species
AUUGAACGCUGGCGGCAGGCCUAACACAUGCAAGUCGAACGAGUGGCGUACGGGUGAGUAAUGUCUGGGAAACUGCCUGAUGGAGGGGUAUAACUACUGGAAACGGUAGCUAAUACCUCCUACCCUCGGAUGUGCCCCGAUGGGAUUAGCUAGUAGGUGGGGUAACGGCUCACCUAGGCGACGAUCCCUAGCUGGUCUGCGAGGAUGACCAGCCACACUGGAACGGAGACACAGUCCAGACUCCUACGGGAGGAAGCAGUGGUGAAUAUUGCACAAUGGGAGCAAGCCUGAUGCAGCCAUGCCGCGUGUAUGAAGAAGGCCUUCGGGUUGUAAAGGACUUUCAGCGGGGAGGCGUUACCCGCAGAAGAAGCAACGGCUAACUCCGUGCCAGCAGGCGCGGUAAUUC